AGUGUCAUUUGACCUGGUAUCCAGCUUAAUACAGCCUCUGCUUUUGAAUAGAUUUCCUUACAAGUGGCAAUCUCUAAUAGGGUCAUGUCGAGAGGCAACCCGACUGCAUACUACCUACUGCACGUUAACGUGAUGAAGAAUUACUCACAGGGGAUCUCACGCCAUAUGGAAAUUUCCCAGCAAGGUGGUUCCACAUUUGCUUCCAUGGCCUCAAGCUUUAGGACACAUUCACUCUCAUUAGGAAGAAAGAGAUCUCUGUCUCUCCUGAGCACACGGCUUCAUAAACCAGCUGCACAAGCAACUGCAUCUGGGGAUCUGCUUCAAGAGAAACUUAACUAAAGCAAGAAUGGGCUCUAACUUCAGGAUACCUAGGAUUCUAACCUCGUUCCAUUACUUACCAACGAUAUGACCUGGGAAAAAUUAUAUACCUGCUGUAAGCCUCAAUGUCCUCAUUUGAAAUACACACAUAAUAGUAGGAUCUCUCUUACAAGGUUGCUGAAAAUAUAAACAGUGGUUAUCAAUGGAAAAA
rnacentral:lncRNA from 1 species